rnacentral:rRNA from 1 species
CGCCGAAAGACCAAGGUUUCCUGCGCAACGUUAAUCGACGCAGGGUUAGUCGGUCCCUAAGGCGAGGCUGAAAAGCGUAGUCGAUGGAAAACAGGUUAAUAUUCCUGUACUUCUGGUUAUUGCGAUGGAGGGACGGAGAAGGCUAGGCCAGCCUGGCGUUGGUUGUCCAGGUUUAAGGUGGUAGGCUGAGAUCUUAGGUAAAUCCGGGAUCUUAAGGCCGAGAGCUGAUGACGAGUGUUCUUUUAGAACAUGAAGUGGUUGAUGCCAUG